rnacentral:tRNA from 1 species
AUUUUAAUAGCUUAAAUUUUAAGAGCAUUAUAUUGAAGAUAUAAACGUGAAUAUUAAUUCUUAAAAUA